GGGGUUGUAGCUCAGCUGGGAGAGCGCUUCGUUCGCAACGAAGAGGUCGGGAGUUCGAUCCUCCUCAACUCCACAA
rnacentral:tRNA from 1 species